GACGAACGCUGGCGGCGUGCUUAACACAUGCAAGUCGAACGGAAAGGCCCUGCUUUUGUGGGGUGCUCGAGUGGCGAACGGGUGAGUAACACGUGAGUAACCUGCCCUUGACUUUGGGAUAACUUCAGGAAACUGGGGCUAAUACCGGAUAGGAGCUCCUGCUGCAUGGUGGGGGUUGGAAAGUUUCGGCGGUUGGGGAUGGACUCGCGGCUUAUCAGCUUGUUGGUGGGGUAGUGGCUUACCAAGGCUUUGACGGGUAGCCGGCCUGAGAGGGUGACCGGCCACAUUGGGACUGAGAUACGGCCCAGACUCCUACGGGAGGCAGCAGUGCGGAAUAUUGCACAAUGGGCGGAAGCCUGAUGCAGCAACGCCGCGUGGGGGAUGACGGCCUUCGGGUUGUAACCCGCUUUCGCCUGUGACGAAGCGUGAGUGACGGUAAUGGGUAGAGAAGCACUGGCUAACUACGUG
rnacentral:rRNA from 1 species